ensembl:lncRNA
UGCAUCAUGUUGAAUCGAAUGAUACCCAGUUUUCCCAUGUCAGCCAUUUUGGGCGUCGGCCAUUUUGAAUUAUUAUCUAAGUUGCUGUAUUUCACAAACGCAUUAGCGUAUCGUUACGACACUAAUUACAAAAAUGUUCGACGCCGUGCCCUGAUGGUACUCAAAAACUUUGGUCACAGCUUCACCUUGUGGUCAGAAGUUAUAAAGAAAUUUAACAUAUAUGCUAAUAACGUUUGAAUACAUUGGACUAUUGGAAUGAAACUGGUCUCUCUAAAUUCCUUGGAUCAUGCCGAGAACAUCGAUACCAAUUACGACAAAAUUGGCCAAACUUCCUGUCCGCCAUUUUGAUUCAUGUUGAAAACCUUAUUUUUCAAACUCCUCCUAGACCGUUAGUCCAAUUUUCACCAAAUGUGACUCAGAUCAUCUUCAGAUGAUGCUGGCAAAAAGUUAUGGAUUUCGUGUCGAUAUACGAAACGGUUUUCGUUUACCGCACCAACGAAUUUGCUGGAAGGAUGCCAAAAUGUAUCUGAGGCUGUAUCUCUGCACAGAUUUGACAUAUUUACACCAAACUUUGCAUGUGCCAUUGUCACCAAAAAUUGAUCACGCCACAUCAAUUUGGUAACAGCGCCACCUAUUGGUCUGGAGUAAUAAACAUUCAUUAAUUCUUAAUUAUUAGCAUUUUUGAAAAUUUCAUAACUUUUGAUUUCAUUGACCUAUUGUAAUGAAACUUGUCUCAAAAUAUUCCUUGGGUCAUGCCGACAGCAUAAAUAUCAAUUAUGUCAUAAUAAGCCGAACUUUCUGUCGGCCAUUUUGAUUUAUGUUGAAAACAUACUUUUUUGCACUCCUCAUCAACCGUUGGUCCGAUUUUCACCAAAAUUGAAUCAGAUGAUCUUCAGACUGUGCUGACAAAAAGUUGUGGAUUUCGUGUCGAAAAACAAAACCGUUUUCGCACAGCGCCGUUAUAAACUUUAAGCACUGUGUCAAAAUGACUCUAAGGCUAUAUCUCUUCAAAGCUUUGACAUACUGACACCAAACUUUGUAUGUGCAAUAGUCAAUUCACACUGACCAUUCCACACUAAUUUGACAACAGCGCCACCUAUUGGUCAAACGUGAUAAGCCAAUAAAUCCUAUUACUAGUUGUUGUCUUUAUUGUUUUCAAGCCAUUUUGCCUAAAAUAAUCUUAAAACGGUUUUAAUUACUCAUUCCUGCCGUUCGUCUGAAGCUUGCUCAUGUAGUGCUUGGCCCCGUAAUUGCUGCUUGCAGCUAUAUUUAUUAGGGGCCAAGCACCGAAGGUGCGUAGGCACCUAUUGUAUCCGUUGGCGUUAUUAUUAUUCUUCUUCUUCUUCUUCUUCUUCUUCCGCCGCAAGUCUAUGGCAGCCCAUAGAACCGAUUGCGGGAAAGUUGUAUAAUUUGGCACACUGAUAGAGGACAGUCCCAGCAUUAACUGUAGCAAAUUUGAAGUCUCUAUCUCCUACUCUCUAGCGCCACCACUUGUCCAAAGUUUCAAUAUUUUUAUGCUAAUAACUUUUGAACCGUACGCCACAAAAUGAAAAUUCUUUUUUCUUCUGAAUCCUUGGCUCAGGCCAAGUCGAAUAAACCCCGAAAUUCAAAAAUCGCAAGGUUUAGUUUUUUUCGCUAUUUUCAAUUGUUCGAAAAACCUACUUUUUCGAACUCGUCCUAGACGGUUAGUCCGAUUUUCACGAAAAUUGGCUCAGAUCAUCUUCAGACCAUGCUGGCAAAAAGUUAUGGAAUUCAAGUUGAUUCGUCCAACCGUUCUCGAAUACCACGCGAACAAAUUCUACGAAAAGCACGCAAAAAUGCUUGUGAGGCUAUAACUCCGCAACGGUUUGGCAUAUUGAGACCAAACUUGGUGUGUGUUAUAAUAAGCAUGACCUGAGACUACCUGCAGUGUUUCGACGUAGUGCCACCUAGUGGUCAGGAGAUAUGAAAAAUGCAUAUUUUUGCUUAUAACUUCUGAAUGGUUUGACCAAAAAUCACAAAACUAGUCUCUUUGUAUUCGGUGGGUCAUGCCGAGUCGAAUGAUAUCCAAUUUUCCCGUGUCAUCCAUUUUAGGUGUCGGCCAUUUUGAAUUAUGUUUCAAAAUGCUGUAUUUUUUGAAUGCAUUAUCGUAUCGCUACGAAAAUAAUUACAAAAAUGUUUGGCUCCAUGCCCUGAAGCUACUCAAAAAGUUUGGUGGCAGCGCCACCUUGUGGUCAACAGUUAUAAUGAAAUAUCUUAAAAAUGCUAAUAACUUUUGAAAAAAUUAGACUAUUGCAAUGAAAGUCAUGUCGAUAUAUUCUUUGGGUGAUGCUGAGAACAUCGAUACCAAUUAUUCCAAAAUUGGCCAUACUUCCUGUCGGCCAUUUUGAUUAAAGUUGAAAACCUACUUUUUCGAACUCCUCCUAGACCGUUAGUCCGAUUUUCACCAAAUUUGGUUCAGAUCAUCUUCAGACCAAGCUGACAAAAAGUUAUGGAUUUUGUGUUGAUAUACAAAACGGUUUUCGUUUAGCGCAUCAACGAAUUUGUUCGUAAGAUGCCAAAAUACAUCUGA